rnacentral:pre_miRNA from 1 species
AGAUCUUAACGUUUCAGGUAUUUGAGAGUUGGAAUGGGCAGAGGAGAGGAAGGAAGGAAUGAAAGGGUCGUUAUUCUGAUCUUUCCAAAAUCCCCUUCCAAUUCCAAUCCCAAAUCCCUGAAACAAUGUUAAGAUGU